ACUGUCACCCACCGCAGCCCAGACCUGCAGAUUCUCAGCUCUUAGCUUCGAGAUCUUACCUUCUUGAUGGGCCAGGACAGUUUGGAAACAAUCCAGACAAGAGAGGCACUUCACAUCCUCUCUGUCUAUAAGAAGCCUUCAAUCAGCUUCCACACCUGCAAGUGCCUUCCCUUGGGAACACAACCUGGAAGCUCAGAGCUGACAGCAGGACUAGUGGCCCCUAAGUUCACAGGAAUGCCUGAAGGCUCCAAGUCACGAGAUGAUACAUGGAGGAACGUGCAGGUGGUGAGUCCUGGGGUCCUCAGUCUCACUGGGAGACUGCACAGAGGAUGACACGGGCUUCACAGAGGACUGGGAAGCCUCUAAGGUCUGACACAUGCUGUGGAACUCUUCCCUGGCACUGCUCAGGCAGCUUCAGUACCAGGAGAGUUCCUGAGAAGCUGGGCACACGGCUGAGUUCCUGAAGACACGGAGAGUUCCAGGCAGGUAUUGGAGCACUGGUGGAUGUCAUUACCAGGAUUCAGCAUGCAAUGCUGCUUCCCAGAGAUGGCACUGACACACCACUGGCCAGGGACAGUAGAGAGAAGCCUCUGUCAAGAAAUGGCAGAGAGAUGCCAGUGCCAAGAUGCUAUAGGAGGACUGGGACCUGAUCUGCUCUAGAAUAUUUUCAGAGGGAGGCACAUGUCAACAUUGCAGAAACUCUACUGCAUUUACUGAGUUUCUCCACUAGGAGCAGAGGUCUCUGGAAGGCCCCAGGGAAGAAGGAAAGCUCUGAACUGUACUUUCCCUGAGAGAAAACGUCUCUCCGACCCAGCCAUUGUGGAUGCCUCAGGAACCCCUGAGGCCACGUCAGAGCACGUAUAUUAGAUGCAUGGGCAUGCAGCCAUGUGCUUAAGAUGGCAUUGUGAAAGAUGAGUGUUCUAUAAUUCCAUUCUUCCAAGUUUGAAAUUUCCUGAUUUUUUAAAUGGAUUUUUUCUGCUUUUUAAUAAAAUAAUGUGUUUAUCUCA
rnacentral:lncRNA from 1 species